rnacentral:rRNA from 1 species
UACGGGGGGGCAAGCGUUGUUCGGAAUUACUGGGCGUAAAGAGCGUGUAGGCGGUCCGGUAAGUCGGCUGUGAAAUCCCCAGGCUUAACCUGGGAACUGCAUCCGAUACUGGAUGGCUUGAAUCCGGGAGAGGGAUGCAGAAUUCCAGGUGUAGCGGUGAAAUGCGUAGAUAUCUGGAGGAAUACCGGUGGCGAAGGCGGCAUCCUGGACCGGCAUUGACGCUGAGGAGCGAAAGCUAGGGGAGCAAACGGGG